rnacentral:rRNA from 1 species
UACGAAGGGGGCUAGCGUUGUUCGGAAUUACUGGGCGUAAAGCGCGCGCAGGCGGUCUUCCAAGUCAGUGGUGAAAGCCCGGAGCUCAACUCCGGAACUGCCAUUGAAACUGUUAGACUUGAGGACGAGAGAGGUGAGUGGAAUUCCCAGUGUAGAGGUGAAAUUCGUAGAUAUCGAGAGGAACACCGGUGGCGAAGGCGGCCAACUGGACAGAUACUGACGCUGAGACACGAAAGCGUGGGGAGCAAACAGG